GAUCUACUCCCUCUGUCCCAAAAUUCUUAUCUUAAAUUUGUCUACAUACGGAUGUAUCAAGUCACUUUUUAGUAUUAGGUACAUCCGUAUCUAGAAAGAUCUAAGACAUGAAUUUUGGGAUGGAGGGAGUACCUU
rfam:Triticum urartu cultivar G1812 contig639400, whole genome shotgun sequence.